rnacentral:rRNA from 1 species
UACGUAGGGGGCUAGCGUUGUCCGGAUUUAUUGGGCGUAAAGAGCGUGUAGGCGGCCAGGUAGGUCUGGUGUGAAAACUCGAGGCUCAACCUCGAGAUGUCGGCGGAAACCACUUGGCUAGAGUCCGGAAGAGGAGAGUGGAAUUCCUGGUGUAGCGGUGAAAUGCGCAGAUAUCAGGAGGAACACCGGUGGCGAAGGCGGGUCUCUGGGCCGAUACUGACGCUGAGGAGCGAAAGCGUGGGGAGCGAACAGG